rnacentral:rRNA from 1 species
UACGUAGGGUGCAAGCGUUGUCCGGAAUUAUUGGGCGUAAAGAGCUCGUAGGCGGUCUGUCGCGUCGGCUGUGAAAACUUGGGGCUCAACCCCAAGCCUGCAGUCGAUACGGGCAGACUAGAGCGCGGUAGGGGAGACUGGAAUUCCUGGUGUAGCGGUGAAAUGCGCAGAUAUCAGGAGGAACACCGGUGGCGAAGGCGGGUCUCUGGGCCGUAACUGACGCUGAGGAGCGAAAGCGUGGGGAGCGAACAGG